rnacentral:lncRNA from 1 species
GCCUUCACAUGCGGGUAAGCGUCGAACACAGAUGCGUAGGGCGUAGCAAACAGGCAGAGAGUGGCAGAUACAUGGUUAAGGUCAGCAAGGCUCAGGAAGUCUCCAGCAAGAUACUUGCACUUGGUCAGACGUGCCUCGUACACCUCUAGCACCUUCUUCAGCUUCUCAAGGUUCUCAUCCACAACUUUCUGGUCGGUGGUUCCUCCAAGCAUCGGACUGAUGAGAACCUGGAAGAGGAUGGGAUUCAAUACAGAGGUGUACUGGUUUGCCUCCACCUCCAUCCAAACAUCCACCAUUGCUGACUCCUCAAGGUUUCCUACCCUCAACAGCUCUGGUUUGUUUUUGCGAGCAGCAUACUUGCAGAUUGCACGUGAUUCUGGCACCACAGAUGAAAAAUAUUUAAAUAAGAAUAAAAUUAGAAAAUCAACAUCAUUAGUAGAUGCAAAAUGAUUCUACAAACACUUCUCAGAAAGCAAUAAUUAAAUACAAAAAAAGGCAUACCAUCUCUGCACUUGAUUAAAUACAUGCCCUGAUGAGUCAAGAGUGAAAUAAUGUGUUUAUUUUAAUAUGCUUACUGAACUCAUUCAUGUUUGCCAAUCAAUUCACUCCUAUAGAACAGACAGCACAAGAUGAAACAGAACAAGAUAACCAAAAGUCAAAUUCGGAUUCCUUUCAGCUUUGGUUUUUAUAUACGACAUAAUAGAACACUUCCUUAUUGGACUAGUGGGGAAAAACUUGAACACAUGGUAACCAUGUCAAAUAUGCAAUCCCCAUGGUGCAAUGACACUUUGCAAUCAGACAACCAUUUUUUAACAUCAUGGUGUAUAUAUAAAUGUUGUUUCCUUUAGUAUCUCUUAAGAACAUGUGCUUCUAGCAAUCAGACAUUUUUUUAAUAUCUCUUAAGAACAUGUGCUUCUAACAAAAUCUGAGAUAUCAUUUAAGUGGACAUUGAAGCGCUAGCCAUGUCACAAAUUUAUGAAACGGUUAAUAAUACCAACAACAGGCGAAUUAGUCACAGCAACAAUGUAUUAAAAACAACCCUAUUUCCGUGGAAGA